ACUUUGUGUUUGAGUGGGGGUAGGCAAAUAUUUUUCCUGGGGAGCCACAUGAGAAACCCAGAUUGUUGCCGGGGGCCAAACAAAUUCUGUCAGACGUAACCUCUAUUUUAUCACUAGAUUAAUUUAUAGAAAACAUACUGCACACUUAUUUUUCAGCAUUUA